rnacentral:rRNA from 1 species
CGCUAGCUACAGGCUUAACACAUGCAAGUCGAGGGGCAGCAUGGUCUUAGCUUGCUAAGGCCGAUGGCGACCGGCGCACGGGUGAGUAACACGUAUCCAACCUGCCGUCUACUCUUGGACAGCCUUCUGAAAGGAAGAUUAAUACAAGAUGGCAUCAUGAGUCCGCAUGUUCACAUGAUUAAAGGUAUUCCGGUAGACGAUGGGGAUGCGUUCCAUUAGAUAGUAGGCGGGGUAACGGCCCACCUAGUCUUCGAUGGAUAGGGGUUCUGAGAGGAAGGUCCCCCACAUUGGAACUGAGACACGGUCCAAACUCCUACGGGAGGCAGCAGUGAGGAAUAUUGGUCAAUGGGCGAGAGCCUGAACCAGCCAAGUAGCGUGAAGGAUGACUGCCCUAUGGGUUGUAAACUUCUUUUAUAAAGGAAUAAAGUCGGGUAUGGAUACCCGUUUGCAUGUACUUUAUGAAUAAGGAUCGGCUAACUCCGUGCCAGCAGCCGCGGUAAUACGGAGGAUCCGAGCGUUAUCCGGAUUUAUUGGGUUUAAAGGGAGCGUAGAUGGAUGUUUAAGUCAGUUGUGAAAGUUUGCGGCUCAACCGUAAAAUUGCAGUUGAUACUGGAUAUCUUGAGUGCAGUUGAGGCAGGCGGAAUUCGUGGUGUAGCGGUGAAAUGCUUAGAUAUCACGAAGAACUCCGAUUGCGAAGGCAGCCUGCUAAGCUGCAACUGACAUUGAGGCUCGAAAGUGUGGGUAUCAAACAGGAUUAGAUACCCUGGUAGUCCACACGGUAAACGAUGAAUACUCGCUGUUUGCGAUAUACUGCAAGCGGCCAAGCGAAAGCGUUAAGUAUUCCACCUGGGGAGUACGCCGGCAACGGUGAAACUCAAAGGAAUUGACGGGGGCCCGCACAAGCGGAGGAACAUGUGGUUUAAUUCGAUGAUACGCGAGGAACCUUACCCGGGCUUAAAUUGCAGAUGAAUUACGGUGAAAGCCGUAAGCCGCAAGGCAUCUGUGAAGGUGCUGCAUGGUUGUCGUCAGCUCGUGCCGUGAGGUGUCGGCUUAAGUGCCAUAACGAGCGCAACCCUUGUUGUCAGUUACUAACAGGUUCCGCUGAGGACUCUGACAAGACUGCCAUCGUAAGAUGUGAGGAAGGUGGGGAUGACGUCAAAUCAGCACGGCCCUUACGUCCGGGGCUACACACGUGUUACAAUGGGGGGUACAGAGGGCCGCUACCACGCGAGUGGAUGCCAAUCCCCAAAACCUCUCUCAGUUCGGACUGGAGUCUGCAACCCGACUCCACGAAGCUGGAUUCGCUAGUAAUCGCGCAUCAGCCACGGCGCGGUGAAUACGUUCCCGGGCCUUGUACACACCGCCCGUCGAGCCAUGGGAGCCGGGGGUACCUGAAGUGCGUAACCGCGAGGAGCGCCCUAGGGUAAAACUGGUGACUGGGGCUA